AUGGACUCUGGCUGUAUCAGGGGAGUGCUGUCUUGCUCAUGGCUGCGUCCCACACCCUUGGCCCAGUGCCUGGCACACAGCAGGCACUUGACAGUAGGAAGCCACCCCAUGCCCAGGGUGGCCCCAGGUGUGCUGUCAGGUUGGGAGCGGGCUGAGCCCUUGGCUGGGUCCUGGCUUCUGCUGCUCAGAACACCACUGUCUUUCUCUUCUCUCCGAAUUCUCUCACCCUCUCAGACAGGCUUGGGGACACGCCUCUUCCUCACCUUCAGGAUCACCUUGCCAGACACAAUUUAUGUGUUUAAGAAGCAGACACGUUUGUUGAAUAAAAGAAUGAAGCAAUGAAUGAGGCAUGAGAGCAACCAAGCUGGCUGGCACAGGCAAUGAUACAUGUGGUGGCUCCUGGAGGCAGGCAGGGCAAGGGCAGCUGCAGGGCACUUACCCAGGCCUUGCCCUCCAUCUUCCCAGGGCCUGUCAGGGCUCCUCCAGUGGGUGCCCAAGGGUCCCUCCUUCCCCUGGGCCUCUGGCCACCUUGAUCCCCAGCCUACCUGCUGAUCGCCCUUGUACUCGCCGAAGUGGAAGACUCGGGCUUUGAGCUCCAGCUCAGCUGCUGUGUCCUCCUCCUUGGUGAUGGACAUCAUCAUCGUGGUGACCCACUGCUUCAGCUGGUUGACCUCCCUGUCCCUGGAGGAGGGAGAAACCAGCAGGGCAUCAGUCACUCAGCGCAGCCCUGGGCACAUCGCUUCUCUGAGCCUGACCGUCUGUA